UGAUGUUGUAUGUAUAUUGUAUGUACGCGUACCGUGUAGCCGUGUAGGUACUUGGUUCGUACCAAUUUAUCGAUUUAUAAUUUUCAGUUUUUGUAACGCAGUACGUUCAAAACUGACCUAUUUCGAUGUCUUUUUCGAUAUUGUACAAAUCGUUGUAAUGUCUACGAAAAGCAUUUGACAAGUAUCAACGAUGGAAAACCAGUCGAUUGACAAUAAACCGGCCUUAGUGAGCCCGCCGAGACAAGUUCUGCCUGGUUAUGUGACACAACAACCUCCACCACACACUAACCAAAUUCACUUGCAAACAGACUUUACGUCUCCACCACCAACACACCCUCAUGGAUUCUGGCCACAACAAGCUUUUCCAAACUCAUGGCAAACACAGUUCCGUAUGCCUAGUCCUGUGCCUCAGACCAAAACUACUGUCACAAACACUACGACUUGUAAUAAUAAUUCUCCUACGUUCAGUUCGACUAGUAACAGUACUAUUAGAUCACCUUUGCCACGCUGGAGGUCAUUCAACAACACUGCACGUCAACGAACACCUUAUCAAUAUGGGAAUACACCAAGAAACAAUUAUCCAAGACAGUUCUCUCAAAAUGCUAAUGGGAAUUUCUUUGCUAAUUCUCCGCAAAACCCGCAAACACCAUCUUCAUCAACAACACAAAACUGGCCACAAUUUAAUCAAAGACCUCGAUUUAUACCAAGACAACAUAUGCGUAUGAACAGACCUCGUAGUUCUGUUCAAAAUCAAUCAAAUGGAACUAAUCAGGAAACAAAUGCUGUAACAGAGUGCAAAACACGGAAGCGCAAAUUAAAAUCACAACAAUCUGGAGAACCACAACGUGCUCAAAAACCAUGGAAUCGUGAGGAUGCUGUAAAAGCAAUUGCUGCUGAAAUGGAACUUCGAACACCUAAAAACAAUCAACAAAUUAUGAUCAGGUUUCCAGAUCAUGAAAUUACGCGGCAAAUUGUUCAGAAUUUUCAUAGUGAUAUUAAGUCUGUACAUUUCCAUACACCAUGUAAUCCAAGAUAUUGUUAUGUGCAAGUACAACCAAGUGCAAAUAUUGAAAAUGUUGCAAAUGCGCUAAAUGAAACUUUUUUCCAACAUGAAAAAUUGCGAGUAGAAAUUAAAGAAAGUCAGUUUGAAGAAAAAGCAUUCCCAGAAUGCAUUGAUCCGUAUACAUUAUAUCUUGGAAAUUUGCCAACAAAUAUCACAUCUAAUGCUGUUAAAGAUGAAUUUCCAAAAGCCACUCGAGUUGACAUUGGGUUUGCUAAAAAAAUGAAGUACACAAGAUAUGCAUUUAUCAAAUUUUCUAAUGCUGAAGACGCAAUACAAGCAUAUAAAGAAAAAUAUAAUUUGGUUAUUGAUAGCCGAUCAGUUGUUUUAAGAUUUAGGCGUGGUAAAGGAAAUGUAAAUCCACCUGGACAAGUUGAUAAAUUACCAAAUGAGAUGAAUGAAUUUGACGUACAAAGUUUACGGAAAAAAAUCAAGAGAGAACCUAUAGAAGAAAAUAUUGAAGAAUAUGAUCCACCUCCAAUUAAUGUAUCCAGAGUAGUUAAGCCUGAAAUGAUGGAAGAAGAUGAUUAUGACCAAGAUUCUGUAUAUGAAUCUCAUGUACCAUUUGGAAAUGAUAUUAAUAUUAAAUCUGAAUGUCCCGAUUAUGAUGAUGAAUAUGAUGAACAAUUUUAUGAAGAUGAAGAUCCAUCAAAUGUAACUUAUACUUUCCAAAGAAAUGAAACUGUCAGUAUGGAUGUAGUGCUUGGUGAUAAUAAUAGUGCACAGUGCAUUCAAACCAAUAACAGUGACGAUAUCACAAUACCUACUGGAGUUGAAGAUGAAGAUAGACGAUGGAAUGAAAAACCAGAUGAUGAAGAUGAAUUUGAAAUGCCAUAUUCAUUCGUAUCAAAAAAACAAAUACUAUCAGAAAAUAACAAAGACAUUACUUUACCUACAACUGAUGAAAUCCAUGAUGGCGGGAGUGAUAGGGAAGACCAAAGAUGGAACAAUUCUUCAGAUGAUGAUAAUGAUGAUGGUGGUGCUGAAUAUAAUUGGGAAGGAUUAAAUGAACAAAAAAAAUCUGAAAAACAAUCUAAAGAUUAUGAAAAACGAGAAUAUAACUUUAAAAAAUCAGAUGACAUUAAUGCCGUUAAAUGAUUCAAAUUCAAACUUGAAAUACACACGAGUCUUGUUCACUCAAUGUGGCCAAAAGGGUAUUUAGGUUUGUAUCGGCCCGGUAUUGGGGCAUGUCAAGACGCAAAACUGAUGCACGUGUACUGAAGCGACAGAAGAACGUUGAUCACAAGCUGAAAAUCAGACCUCAAAUGAAUUGAACUCACAACACGCCGUCUAUUUUCCAAACUGUACUAUUGAACUCAAUCUAUAAUAAGGAUCCCUUCAGACAUUCCUUUGCAUCGUGUAUGUUUUAAAUGUUUUAAUCCUUUAUAUUAUCAUAGUUAAUCAAUAUUAUAUCUUGUUGUUAAAACCGUGUGUGUUAAUCAGUGUAUAUAGUUUUAGUAGAAAACUAUCUUUCUGUACAAGGUAUUCCUCUAAAUAUUAUCGUACUUUUAAUUGGCUGCUGGUUUUAAAUCUGCGUAAUUGGAUAAAUAAAAAUUACUUGUACCAGUUCUAGUUUGGCCAGUUAAAAAAAAAUGCUUAAAAUUAUCAAGGUAACCC